rnacentral:rRNA from 1 species
GAUGAACGCUAGCGGCAGGCCUAACACAUGCAAGUCGAGGGAGGAGCUUUCGGGCUUCGACCGGCGUACGGGUGCGUAACGCGUAUACAAUCUGCCUUUCACAUAGGGAUAGCCCGAAGAAAUUUGGAGUAAUACCUAAUGGUAUAUAGAGGUGGCAUCACCUUUAUAUUAAAGCUGAGGCGGUGAAAGAUGGGUAGGCGUUCGAUUAGCUAGUUGGAGAGGUAACGGCUCCCCAAGGCGACGAUAGAUAGGGGUUCUGAGAGGGAUAUCCCCCACACUGGUACUGAGAUACGGACCAGACUCCUACGGGAGGCAGCAGUGAGGAAUAUUAGACAAUGGUCGGAAGACUGAUCCAGCCAUGCCGCGUGCAGGAAGACGGCCUUAUGGGUUGUAAACUGCUUUUGCAGGGGAAGAAUAAGGACUACGCGUAGUUUGAUGACGGUACUCUGCGAAUAAGCAUCGGCUAACUCCGUG